AGAGAGAGAGAGAGAAAUGGAAUUCUUAUAAAUAGAAGGCGAGAACAACCUCUGGAGCGGAGCGUUCGUUUCUUUCUAUUUCCAUCAGCGAAAAAAUACAAAUAUAUUUACAUACACAUAUAAUCCCCUCCUCCGGCCACCCCACCCACCCCGCCAUUUAAGCGCUGGCUCUCUGAGUAAUUAUAAUGUUUAGGGUAAACAAAGUCGUACGAUAAAUGGCUGGCUGGAUGGUUGGAUGGCUCGUUCAAAUGUAUGCGAUGAUGCGUCAGCCCCCCCACGCCCCCCCACGCCAUGCCACGCCACGCCACAGCCAUCCAGCGAGACACUCGCGAGUGGCAUGUGGCAAAGUACACCUUGAUAAUGAUAAUUAUGAAAGUAACACCGCAUCGCCCACCCACUGCGUGUGUGUGUGUGUGUGUGUGUGUCACGCAACAGAGGUGAAAAAUCCCAUGCCCCACCCACACGCGCCGUGACCUCCUCCGAGCGACGAGCGACGACAAUCAAGUUAAUUCCCCCAAGAAAUGCUGUCACUUUGAUGCAUUAGGUGCCCCGCCAGGUGAAAGCGACUCUCUGUGAUUCACCAGAGAGAGACACACAGAGACAGAGAGAGAGAGAGAGAAAUGGAGAAUAAAUUGAAUGGAAGUUCCCAUCUAAUUGUGUGUGCUGUGGGCAAACACGGAAAACCAAUCGGGGAAAAAUCAUCAAAAAGAAACAAAUAUUGAUUGGCAAACAGCAAACAGCAGAAAUAAAACGAUAGAACCUGUACUAGGAUUAAGAGCAGACUUAAAAGUGGCCACCAAAUCGGAGGCGGUGGGGGCUAAAUAUUUAUAGAGCAAACAAAUGAAUCAUCGGCGAGGAAUCGGAAUCGGAAUCGGAAGCAGAAGUGCCAUGAAUAUGAUAAUAAUUUCAUCAGAAAUUCGCAAACUAAUGAAUAUUUUUGUAUUCCACUUUUAUUUAAGGAUCCCACAGAGAAGAGCUCUUUUAUGGAGGGAUUUCUGGGGUACAGUCACCGCGUGUCUCACAGAACGACCACAUGACUAAUCGAUUAGUUAUCGAUGGAGAUCGAUAGACGAUUGACGUAAUACCAGAAGAUGAUGGCCGGGGAUGGGAAUGGAGAGUGGUGAGUGGAGAGUGGAGGGGGGGUGAAAAUAACUGCACAAACAGUAAACGGAGAGCUAUCCUGAAGAGAAUUUCUGUGGACUUUUGCUGAGUUUUAUGAUUAUUUUUAGCUCAUCGUAUAAUUCCCGUGAUUCAGUUUGUGAUUUCGCUGCAAAUAUUCAAUUAUUCUGCGGUCAAUCGGAGGUUAUUGAAACCCGUUCUAGGUCGAGAGACCACUUAGCAGUGAUAGCCCCCGCCUUCGUAUACGAGAGGAAAGCCCCCUUAAGCAUGGUUUUAUGACCAAUCAUUUAUCUAAUCCGACUGGAACUCCCCCGUCACUACGCACUUGAGCACCAUAGCCUACGGGGGACUGUACCCUGUGCCGCGCCAAUCUCGAAACAAUCGACAUCAUCACGCCACUGAGAAACCAAGUCCAUGACUGACCGCCCCGAAAAAACGCCUGACUCAGAGAACAGCUCAGAAAUUUUCCAAAACAGCCCCAGACGAGGCGCGUGCCAAGGCUCGAAGGGGAGUCGCGUGUUCGUAUGACCCGAAUUUCGGAAUAGAUUAAUGCUACUCAAAGAUGAUAAUGCUGCCACAGAUCAGGUCUUGGCAAGCUGCAUGUUUUGUUUUCAUUUGUUUUUUUUUUUGUUUUUUUGCAUUACCCCACAAAUUUUCCAUGCCGCGAAGUGUGCGUCGCGAUCUUAUCAGGUAAAGUAAAGUGAAUGGAACGAUCGGAUCCAGCCCCCGACCUGACCAUGUGAUCUGAUUGCGAGAGCCACACCUAAGUGACGGAUAGAGAGGGAGAGAGAGAGGAGACGAAGCGCGCUCUCUGAGCUUUUGUAGAGCUUUAGUUGCUAGAGUUGCUAGAAAAUGCUAUUACAGUGGGUCUUAAAUGGGGCUUUUCAAAAUAGUAGGGGGCUUAA
rnacentral:sRNA from 1 species